UACUGUCUCCUUUUUCUAAUCAGUGAAACUAAUCUCCCCGUGAAGAAGCGGGGAUAUUUUUAUAAGACGAGAAGACCCCAUGGAGCUUUAAACCCAACUACACCCUUGACCCCCAUAACCCCUUAACUCACAAGGUUCUGAAUAGUUGGUUUUAGGUUGGGGCGACCACGGAGAAUAACAAAACCUCCACAAUGAAUGGGGUAUUUCCCCUCAUCUAAGAAUUACAACUCCNAGAAUUAGUACACUAACAUAAAUGAUCCAUUUAAAUGAUCAAUGAACCAAGUUACCCUGGGGAUAACAGCGCAAUCCAUUUCAAGAGCUCCUAUCNACAAAUGGG
rnacentral:rRNA from 1 species